rnacentral:rRNA from 1 species
GGAGGAAGCAGGGGAUCGCAAGACCUUGCGCUUUUGGAGCGGCCGAUGCCUGAUUAGCUUGUUGGUGAGGUAAAAGCUCACCAAGGCUCCGAUCAGUAGCUGGUCUGAGAGGACGACCAGCCACACUGGGACUGAGACACGGCCCAGACUCCUACGGGAGGCAGCAGUGGGGAAUUUUGGACAAUGGGGGCAACCCCGAUCCAGCCAUGCCGCGUGAGUGAAGAAGGCCUUCGGGUUGUAAAGCUCUUUCAGCCGGAACGAAACGGUCACGGUUAAUACCCGUGACUACUGACGGUACCGGAAGAAGAAGCACCGGCUAACUACGUGCCAGCAGCCGCGGUAAUACGUAGGGUGCGAGCGUUAAUCGGAAUUACUGGGCGUAAAGCGUGCGCAGGCGGUUUUGUAAGUCAGAUGUGAAAUCCCCGGGCUUAACCUGGGAACUGCGUUUGAAACUACAAAGCUAG